rnacentral:rRNA from 1 species
GGGGGGGGGGGGGGGGGGGGUUGGGGGGGGGGGGGCGGGGGGAGGGGCGCUGCUUGGGGGGGGUGCGCGGGGGGCGAACGGGUGAGUAACACGUGAGUAACCUGCCCUUGACUUUGGGAUGACUUCAGGAAACUGGGGCUAAUACCGGAUCGGAGCUCCUGCUGCAUGGUGGGGGUUGGACAGUUUCGGCGGGUGGGGCUGGACUCGCGGCUUAUCAGCUUGUUGGUGGGGUAGUGGCUUACCAAGGCUUUGACGGGUAGCCGGCCUGAGAGGGUGACCGGCCACAUUGGGACUGAGAUACGGCCCAGACUCCUACGGGAGGCAGCAGUGGGGAAUAUUGCACAAUGGGCGGAAGCCUGAUGCAGCAACGCCGCGUGCGGGAUGACGGCCUUCGGGUUGUAAACCGCUUUCGCCUGUGACGAAGCGUGAGUGACGGUAAUGGGUAAAGAAGCACCGGCUAACUACGUG